rnacentral:lncRNA from 1 species
AUGCCCACAUUCAGCCGUCAAUCUUUAGUUAGCAUAUCAGUCACACAAGGUUCUAGGGUGGAUCAUAUGAGGUCUUUUUUGGCUUUGAAACUUCCACCAUCUGCAGAGGCAAGAGAACCCAAGUUCAAAGUCAGUCUGAUCUACAUAGCAAGUUCCCAGCCAGUGAAACAACAGCAACAAAACCAAAACUUCAUCACCUUAUUUGGUCUUAGCAUACCGGAAACCACUCUGAUCUCUGGCGGGUUCCCUGUUACUUUGAAGCAUUCUGUGCCUCUCGCAUGUCUUAACGUCUGGGUAGGAAGACCUCAGAAGAGAUCUGAUUUGAUGGUCACCAAAUCACCAAACCACCGUGAGAUCAAGGAAGCGGUGCCAACAACAUGGAGAGAGUGUCUGGGAGGAGAGUCUGGAUUCAAAAGACCCAGCAGGGACUGCUCUGUGAUCAAAUCCGACUUGACAGGCAGGGCCAUUUGCUCUGCUGUCAUCUCUAAGCAGGGAUCUUGGAUGACAUAUUUGGUAUGCUCUUGAGAUGCCACAGUGUGUAAACGGAAGGGCAGACAUAUGUUCAAGCCAUGAGGGGAAAACAAAGCUGUGCAUGGUCAAGAUGACUCAGGCCUCUCCAGUUCCUAAUAAAC